UACGUAGGGCGCAAGCGUUGUCCGGAAUUAUUGGGCGUAAAGAGCUCGUAGGUGGCUUGUCACGUCGGGUGUGAAAGCUUGGGGCUUAACUCCAGGUCUGCAUUCGAUACGGGCUGGCUAGAGGUAGGUAGGGGAGAACGGAAUUCCUGGUGUAGCGGUGAAAUGCGCAGAUAUCAGGAGGAACACCGGUGGCGAAGGCGGUUCUCUGGGAAUAUCCUGACGCUGAGGAGCGAAAGUGUGGGGAGCGAACAGG
rnacentral:rRNA from 1 species